GACGAACGCUGGCGGCGUGCUUAACACAUGCAAGUCGAACGGAAAGGCCCUGCUUUUGUGGGGUGCUCGAGUGGCGAACGGGUGAGUAACACGUGAGUAACCUGCCCUUGACUUUGGGAUAACUUCAGGAAACUGGGGCUAAUACCGGAUAGGAGCUCCUGCUGCAUGGUGGGGGUUGGAAAGUUUCGGCGGUUGGGGAUGGACUCGCGGCUUAUCAGCUUGUUGGUGGGGUAGUGGCUUACCAAGGCUUUGACGGGUAGCCGGCCUGGGAGGGUGACCGGCCACAUUGGGACUGAGAUACGGCCCAGACUCCUACGGGAGGCAGCAGUGGGGAAUAUUGCACAAUGGGCGGAAGCCUGAUGCAGCAACGCCGCGUGCGGGAUGACGGCCUUCGGGUUGUAAACCGCUUUCGCCUGUGACGAAGCGUGAGUGACGGUAAUGGGUAAAGAAGCAUCGGCUAACUACGUG
rnacentral:rRNA from 1 species